rnacentral:lncRNA from 1 species
GGGUGGGGUAGAGGCAGCCACUCCAGUUGCAUUUCUGGCCCCUGGCACCAGACUGAGAACCCUUUGCAACUGAUCAGAACUCACCUCCUGUCAAGGGCUGAAUUCUUUCUUGCCAAGAAGAUGGUAGAAACCUCGACCAUCAUAGUGGAGAAGAGGAACCAGAACAAAAUGAAAUGACAUGACUCCUGUCCAGGCACUGGCAGAGGGGCAGGCUGCCUUCACCUGAAUACGUGCAGCAACGCACUGCAUACAUUUCAGAGUUUAUAUGAACAAGAUAAACUUUUCAACAAGAAAAAAUCAUUAAACAUACAAUGAACACUUACUGUGUGCGUGGCCUUUUCUAGAAGUAGGCUGUGAAUUC